AGCUCCAAUAGCGUAUAUUAAAGUUGCUGCAGUUAAAAAGCUCGUAGUUGCAUUUCCGAGGCAAGGGAUUAGUCCGACCUUUGGUGGGUAUUUAAUCCUCUUGCCUCGUCCUUGAGUGGUGCUUCUUGGUAUUAAGUUAUCGAGGAGAUAGCCGCUCAUCGUUUACUGUGAGAAAAUUAGAGUGUUCAAAGCAGGCUUAUGCCGUUGAAUAUAUUAGCAUGGAAUAAUAAGAUAGGACCUCGGUACUAUUUUGUUGGUUUGAGAACCAAGGUAAUGAUGAAUAGGGACAGUUGGGGGUAUUCGUAUUCAGUUGUCAGAGGUGAAAUUCUUAGAUUUACGGAAGACGAACUACUGCGACAGCAUUUUCCAAGGAUGUUUUCA
rnacentral:rRNA from 1 species